rnacentral:snoRNA from 1 species
ACGUCCAUUUACAAAAUUACUGCUGCGUUUUGCAUUCUACAACGCUGGCUGUGCCAAAAGUGGACCACAGUAAAAUCCAGAAACCCGUGUUCGUAGUUCUUCCCUCUUCAAUGGGUUGAACCUUCUGUU